rnacentral:rRNA from 1 species
GACAGAGGGUGCAAACGUUGUUCGGAAUUACUGGGCGUAAAGCGCGUGUAGGCGGCUCGGAAAGUCGGGUGUGAAAGCCCUGGGCUCAACCCGGGAACUGCGUCCGAUACUGGUUGGCUUGAAUCCGGGAGAGGGAUGCAGAAUUCCAGGUGUAGCGGUGAAAUGCGUAGAUAUCAGGAGGAACACCGGUGGCGAAGGCGGAUCUCUGGGCCAUUACUGACGCUGAGGAGCGAAAGCGUGGGGAGCGAACAGG